UCAUCACAGCCCAAGAGGGAGUACCGGGACUGCACCGUUCACAAUGACAUCCCGUACCCAAGCUGGCUGCUAGCAGAUCAGAAAGACAUCCUCAUGAAGCUUCUGCUUAAAGAUCCAGAAUGCCGGCUUGGGACGAAUGGUGAUAUAAGAGUGCAUCCCUUCUUCGGCAUCUUGAACUGGGACCAUUUGGAACAACGCAAAAUCUGGCCCCCAUACCUGCCUCUGGUGAACCCAACUGGAGAUCUUCACCUCAGUUCCCAGGAUAUAUCCUUUUCAUUUGU